AGAGUUUGAUCCUGGCUCAGAUUGAACGCUGGCGGCAUGCUUUACACAUGCAAGUCGAACGGCAGCACGGGGGCAACCCUGGUGGCGAGUGGCGAACGGGUGAGUAAUAUAUCGGAACGUACCCGGAAAUGGGGGAUAACGUAGCGAAAGUUACGCUAAUACCGCAUAUGCCCUAAGGGGGAAAGCGGGGGAUUCGCAAGAACCUCGCGUUUUCGGAGCGGCCGAUAUCGGAUUAGCUAGUAGGUGAGGUAAAGGCUCACCUAGGCGACGAUCCGUAGCUGGUCUGAGAGGACGACCAGCCACACUGGAACUGAGACACGGUCCAGACUCCUACGGGAGGCAGCAGUGGGGAAUUUUGGACAAUGGGCGCAAGCCUGAUCCAGCCAUGCCGCGUGAGUGAAGAAGGCCUUCGGGUUGUAAAGCUCUUUCAGCCGGAAAGAAAACGCACGGGUUAAUAACCUGUGUGGAUGACGGUACCGGAAGAAGAAGCACCGGCUAACUACGUGCCAGCAGCCGCGGUAAUACGUAGGGUGCGAGCGUUAAUCGGAAUUACUGGGCGUAAAGCGUGCGCAGGCGGUUUUGUAAGACAGAUGUGAAAUCCCCGGGCUUAACCUGGGAACUGCAUUUGUAACUGCAAGGCUAGAGUACGCAGAGGGGGUAGAACUCCACGUGUAGCAGUGAAAUGCGUAGAUAUGUGGAGGAUCCGAUGGCGAA
rnacentral:rRNA from 1 species